rnacentral:lncRNA from 1 species
GUGUGUUGUAGUGUGUGUCAGUGUGUGUCUUGUGGUCUGUGUGUGUCUUGUGGUCUGUGUGUUAGUGUUCACACUCAGCUCAGUUCCUCCAGUGACGUUUCGCUCCUGUUCUCAGCAGCCAGAGAACCAGCAGAACAGCUCCCUCAGGUCUCCAGACCUGCCCCCUCCUGUGACCCCUGACCCUGACCUGCCUUCCUCUGUGACCUCACCGCCAGAGGGAGCCAAUGAGAGAAGGGCACCGCCCCCUGUCCCGCCUGCCUCUGUGAAGCCUGUGUUCGGACAGGCUGACACUGCUGUCACUCAAGCUGACGAGGUGGUCCGAAACUCUGCUCCAAUCAAACCGCAGAGAACCAGGAAAGCCCUGUCCUGUGAUACAGGUACUGUCUGUCUGUCUGUCUUUGUGUCUGUCUGCCUUCGUGUCCGCCUGUAUGUCUCUGUGUCUCUGUGUCUGCCUGUCUGUCUCUCUGUCUGUUUGUCUUUGUGUCUCUGUGUCUGCCUGUCUGUCUCUGUGUCUGCUUGUCUGUUUGUCGGCCUGUGUGUGUGUUACUGUCUCUGUGUGUCACCCUUUUGGCCUGUCUGUCUUGUUCACUCAUGGGGCCCAUCCUGUCGGUCUUAAUCAGGCAGUGAGAAGGACAGCCCCAGCCCUCAAGAGAGGUCCUCGGAGAAGAAGCCCCCUGUGAAGAAGCCCAGAAUCCCCCUGAACGCCCGAGUCAAGUCCCUGGACUGUCCCGAGAGAGGUCUGACUGCCCGAAUGUGUGACAGACCUCCUGUCUGUCUGCCUGGCCAACUGUUGGUCUCAGUGCCAAUGCUGCUCUUCCCUCUGCUGACUGCCUGUGUGUCUCUCGGCAUGUCCAUCUUUCUGUCUGACUUCCUGUCUCACUGAUGGACGUGCCUGUCUGUCUGUCACAUCACCUGUCUGCCUGUCCAUCUGCCUGAUUGCCCGUCUCACCCCCGGCGUGCCUGUCUGUCUGUCUGACUGCCCGUCUC